AUUCGAGCUGCGGGUCUUUGGGCCACCUCCCAUCCGUGUCUAUUGUACCCUGUUGCUUCGGCGGGCCCGCCGCUUGUCGGCCGCCGGGGGGGCGCCUCUGCCCCCCGGGCCCGUGCCCGCCGGAGACCCCAACACGAACACUGUCUGAAAGCCUGCAGUCUGAGUUGAUUGAAUGCAAUCAGUUAAAACUUUCAACAAUGGAUCUCUUGGUUCCGGCAUCGAUGAAGAACGCAGCGAAAUGCGAUAACUAAUGUGAAUUGCAGAAUUCAGUGAAUCAUCGAGUCUUUGAACGCACAUUGCGCCCCCUGGUAUUCCGGGGGGCAUGCCUGUCCGAGCGUCAUUGCUGCCCUCAAGCCCGGCUUGUGUGUUGGGGUCGCCGUCCCCCUCUCCGGGGGGACGGGCCCGAAAGGCAGCGGCGGCACCGCGUCCGAUCCUCGAGCGUAUGGGGCUUUGUCACAUGCUCUGUAGGAUUGGCCGGCGCCUGCCGACGUUUUCCAACCAUUCUUUCCAGGUUGACCUCGGAUCAGGUAGGGAUACCCGCUGAACUUAAGCAUAUCA
rnacentral:rRNA from 1 species